ensembl:lncRNA
CUUCUAAAGAUAAACCGAGGGCACAAGUGACGGGUAGUUCUGACUUGUCCGUGUGGUUGAAGCAGUGGUAUGGCCUAGGCAGUUCAAGGCUGAAUCACCAGGAUGGUGGAAGACUGAAGCUCGGGAGCAGAGGGAGGGAGCAGGUGGAAACCCACAGAGAGGAUUCUGUUCCCAUCUCGCUGCCACCUUCCACCACCUAGGUUUAAGGAUCUAGCUUCCAACUCGCUGAAGCCCCCGGGAGAUGCCUGCAGGCCACGUCAGCCAGGUUCUUCCCAAGCCCCCAGAGCUGGUGAUCCCUCUCCCAUAUUUUACCUGAUGAAUCCUACUGCUAGAUGCAGCCACGUUGUCUUGGAACUGUCAGAGGAUCAACUUCCCGUUUCCAGGUAAACAGAGCCCCAUCAGGGCAAUCCACUUCUCUCACCAGGAACUUAAAUUUGGUGGGAAGCA